rnacentral:rRNA from 1 species
AACGAACGCUGGCGGCAUGCCUAACACAUGCAAGUCGAACGAGACCUUCGGGUCUAGUUGCGCACGGGUGCGUAACGCGUGGGAACCUGCCUUUAGGUUCGGAAUAACUCAGAGAAAUUUGAGCUAAUACCGGAUGAUGUCUUCGGACCAAAGAUUUAUCGCCUUUAGAUGGGCCCGCGUUGUAUUAGCUAGUUGGUGGGGUAAAGGCCUACCAAGGCGACGAUCCAUAGCUGGUCUGAGAGGAUGAUCAGCCACACUGGGACUGAGACACGGCCCAGAAUCCUACGGGAGGCAGCAGUGGGGAAUAUUGGACAAUGGGCGAAAGCCUGAUCCAGCAAUGCCGCGUGAGUGAUGAAGGCCUGAGGGUUGUAAAGCUCUUUUACCCGAGAUGAUAAUGACAGUAUCGGGAGAAUAAGCUCCGGCUAACUCCGUG